CCCUUAGAUGUUCUGGGCUGCACGCGUGCUACAAUGGCGCUUGCAACAAGUCUUGCCAACCCGAUAGGGUGAGCGGAUCUUUGAAGAGGCGUCGUGAUCGGGACAGUUGAUUGCAAUUAUUCGACUCGAACGAGGAAUUCCUUGUAAUCGCGAUUCAUCAUAUCGCGCUGAAUACGUCCCUGCCCUUUGUACACACCGCCCGUCGCUCCUACCGAUUGGGCGAUCCGGUGAAUGUUUUGGACUGGCGUCAGAAGCGGUUCGCUCCUGACACUACGAAAUUUUGUAAACCUUAUCGCUUAGAGGAAGGAAAAGUCGUAACA
rnacentral:rRNA from 1 species